rnacentral:rRNA from 1 species
GACGAACGCUGGCGGCGUGCUUAACACAUGCAAGUCGAACGGAGUAUUCAGCAAUGGAUACUUAGUGGCGAACGGGUGAGUAACGCGUAGGCAAUCUGCCUUCUAGAUGGGGACAACACCGCGAAAGUGGUGCUAAUACCGAAUGUGAUAUAGAGAAUGCAUAUUCUAUAUAAGAAAGAUGGCCUCUAUUUAUAAGCUACCGCUAGCAGAUGAGCACGCGUCUGAUUAGCUAGUUGGUGAGGUAAUAGCUCACCAAGGCGACGAUCAGUAGCCGGUCUGAGAGGAUGAACGGCCACACUGGGACUGGGACACGGCCCAGACUCCUACGGGAGGCAGCAGUGGGGAAUCUUCCGCAAUGGACGAAAGUCUGACGGAGCAACGCCGCGUGAGUGAAGAAGGUUUUCGGAUUGUAAAGCUCUGUCUUCAGGGGCGAACGUAAGGUAGGUAAAUAAUCUACUGUAAUGACGGUACCUGAGGAGGAAGCCACGGCUAACUACGUGCCAGCAGCCGCCGUAA